CGGACGGGUGAGUAAUGCUUGGGAAUCUGUCUUAUGGAGGGGGAUAACGACGGGAAACUGUCGCUAAUACCGCGUAGAAUCGGGAGAUGAAAGUGUGGGACCUUCGGGCCACAUGCCAUAGGAUGAGCCCAAGUGUGAUUAGGUAGUUGGUGGGGUAAAGGCCUACCAAGCCGACGAUCGCUAGCUGGUCUGAGAGGAUGGCCAGCCACACCGGGACUGAGACACGGCCCGGACUCCUACGGGAGGCAGCAGUGGGGAAUAUUGCGCAAUGGGGGCAACCCUGACGCAGCCAUGCCGCGUGAAUGAAGAAGGCCUUCGGGUUGUAAAGUUCUUUCGGUGAUGAGGAAGGUUGGUGUGUUAAUAGCAUGCCAAAUUGACGUUAAAUACAGAAGAAGCACCGGCUAACUCCGUGCCAGCAGCCGCGGUAAUACGGGGGGUGCGAGCGUUAAUCGGAAUAACUGGGCGUAAAGGGCACGUAGGCGGACCUUUAAGUGAGGUGUGAAAUCCCCGGGCUUAACCUGGGAAUUGCAUUUCAUACUGGGGGUCUGGAGUACUUUAGGGAGGGGUAGAAUUCCACGUGUAGCGGUGAAAUGCGUAGAGAUGUGGAGGAAUACCGAAGGCGAAGGCAGCCCCUUGGGGAUGUACUGACGCUGAUGUGCGAAAGCGUGGGGAGCAAACAGGAUUAGAUACCCUGGUAGUCCACGCUGUAAACGGUGUCGAUUUGGGGAUUGGGGUUUAGCCCUGGUGCCCGAAGCUAACGUGAUAAAUCGACCGCCUGGGGAGUACGGCCGCAAGGUUAAAACUCAAAUGAAUUGACGGGGGCCCGCACAAGCGGUGGAGCAUGUGGUUUAAUUCGAUGCAACGCGAAGAACCUUACCUACUCUUGACAUCCGAAGAAGAACUCAGAGAUGGGUUUGUGCCUUAGGGAGCUUUGAGACAGGUGCUGCAUGGCUGUCGUCAGCUCGUGUUGUGAAAUGUUGGGUUAAGUCCCGCAACGAGCGCAACCCUUAUCCUUUGUUGCCAGCGACUUGGUCGGGAACUCAAAGGAGACUGCCGGUGAUAAACCGGAGGAAGGUGGGGAUGACGUCAAGUCAUCAUGGCCCUUACGAGUAGGGCUACACACGUGCUACAAUGGCGUAUACAGAGGGUAACCAACCAGCGAUGGGGAGUGAAUCUCAGAAAGUACGUCUAAGUCCGGAUG
rnacentral:rRNA from 1 species